GUGCCAGCAGCCGCGGUAAUACGAAGGGGGCUAGCGUUGCUCGGAAUGACUGGGCGUAAAGGGCGCGUAGGCUGUUUAUACAGUCAGAUGUGAAAUCCCCGGGCUUAACCUGGGAACUGCAUUUGAUACGUAUGGACUAGAGUCCGAGAGAGGGUUGUGGAAUUCCCAGUGUAGAGGUGAAAUUCGUAGAUAUUGGGAAGAACACCGGUUGCGAAGGCGGCAACCUGGCUCGGAACUGACGCUGAGGCGCGAAAGCGUGGGGAGCGAACAGGAUUAGAUACCCUGGUAGUCCACGCUGUAAACGAUGUGUGCUGGAUGUUGGGUGAUUUAAUCAUUCAGUGUCGGAGCUAACGCGUUAAGCACACCGCCUGGGGAGUACGGCCGCAAGGUUGAAACUCAAAGGAAUUGACGGGGGCCCGCACAAGCGGUGGAGCAUGUGGUUUAA
rnacentral:rRNA from 1 species